UACGAAGGGGGCUAGCGUUGCUCGGAAUCACUGGGCGUAAAGCGCACGUAGGCGGCUUACUAAGUCAGGGGUGAAAUCCUGGAGCUCAACUCCAGAACUGCCUUUGAUACUGGUGAGCUUGAGUCCGGGAGAGGUGAGUGGAACUGCGAGUGUAGAGGUGAAAUUCGUAGAUAUUCGCAAGAACACCAGUGGCGAAGGCGGCUCACUGGCCCGGUACUGACGCUGAGGUGCGGAAAGCGUGGGGAGCAACAGG
rnacentral:rRNA from 1 species